rnacentral:tRNA from 1 species
CGUUCGCUGGUGUAAUCGGUAGCACACUUGGUGGCGUAAACAAAGAGGUGUGGGUUCGAGUCCCAUCCGUAUGG